rnacentral:rRNA from 1 species
UAAGGAAUAUUGGUCAAUGGACGCAAGUCUGAACCAGCCAUGCCGCGUGGAGGAUGAAGGUCCUCUGGAUUGUAAACUUCUUUUAUCUGGGACGAAAAAGGGACUUUCUAGUUCAACUGACGGUACCAGAUGAAUAAGCACCGGCUAACUCCGUGCCAGCAGCCGCGGUAAUACGGAGGGUGCAAGCGUUAUCCGGAUUCACUGGGUUUAAAGGGUGCGUAGGUGGGCAGGUAAGUCAGUGGUGAAAUCUCUGGGCUUAACCCGGAAACUGCCAUUGAUACUAUUUGUCUUGAAUAUCGUGGAGGUCAGCGGAAUAUGUCAUGUAGCGGUGAAAUGCUUAGAUAUGACAUAGAACACCAAUUGCGAAGGCAGCUGGCUACACGAAUAUUGACACUGAUGCACGAAAGCGUGGGGAUCAAACAG